ensembl:snRNA U6 U6 spliceosomal RNA
CAGCUCGCUUCGGCAGCACAUACGCUCAAGUUAGAAAGAUGCAGGGAGGACUAGCAAGGCUGCGCCGCAAGGAUGACUUGCAAAUUCAGGAAGCAUUUCAUGUUUUA